AAAAAAGGGGUGCCGAAAGGCUGAGAUCAUACCCGUUAAACCUGAUUUGGAUAAUGCCAACGUAGGGAAAAU
rnacentral:ncRNA from 1 species